rnacentral:rRNA from 1 species
GAUGAACGCUGGCGGCGUGCCUAAUACAUGCAAGUCGAGCGAACAGACGAGGAGCUUGCUCCUCUGACGUUAGCGGCGGACGGGUGAGUAACACGUGGAUAACCUACCUAUAAGACUGGGAUAACUUCGGGAAACCGGAGCUAAUACCGGAUAAUAUAUUGAACCGCAUGGUUCAAUAGUGAAAGACGGUUUUGCUGUCACUUAUAGAUGGAUCCGCGCCGCAUUAGCUAGUUGGUAAGGUAACGGCUUACCAAGGCGACGAUGCGUAGCCGACCUGAGAGGGUGAUCGGCCACGCGGGAGGGGAGAGGGGGUCCAGAGGGCGGCGGGAGGCGGCAGUAGGGAGUGGUCCGCGAGGGGGGGGAGCGUGACGGAGCAGGGGGGCGUGAGUGAUGAAGGUGGUCGGAUCGUAAAGCGCUGUUAUUAGGGAAGAACAAAUGUGUAAGUAACUAUGCACGUCUUGACGGUACCUAAUCAGAAAGCCACGGCUAACUACGUG